CGGAGGAUCCAAGCGUUAUCCGGAAUCAUUGGGUUUAAAGGGUCCGUAGGCGGUUUAGUAAGUCAGUGGUGAAAGCCCAUCGCUCAACGGUGGAACGGCCAUUGAUACUGCUAAACUUGAAUUAUUAGGAAGUAACUAGAAUAUGUAGUGUAGCGGUGAAAUGCUUAGAGAUUACAUGGAAUACCAAUUGCGAAGGCAGGUUACUACUAAUGGAUUGACGCUGAUGGACGAAAGCGUGGGUAGCGAACAGGAUUAGAUACCCUGGUAGUCCACGCCGUAAACGAUGGAUGCUAGCUGUUGGGGGCAACUUCAGUGGCUAAGCGAAAGUGAUAAGUAUCCCACCUGGGGAGUACGUUCGCAAGAAUG
rnacentral:rRNA from 1 species